AUGGUGAUCCACCGCACGGCCGUGCCCGCGCCUUCCGCCGCCUGUCUCCUCAAGGUUGGUCCAAAAAAGGAGGUAGCAGAAUGUAAGGAAAAGUUCGCAAGUUCAGUGGAUCCAACGGUUAGUCAAACUUUUAUGCUCGAUCGAGUUUUCAAUCCCGAGGGCAAGUCAUUCCCACCUAUGCGAGGAUUCAAGUAUUCCAGCUGGUCCCCGCUGGGCUGUGACGCGAAUGGAAGGUGCCUGCUUGCGGCUUUAACCAUGGACAAUCGAUUGACCAUCCACGCAAACCUCAACAGACUACAGUGGGUGCAGCUGGUGGACCUGACAGAAAUCUACGGGGAACGUUUGUAUGAAGCCAGCUACAAACUUUCCAAGGCUGACACUCCCAGGGGAGAACUAGGAGACUUCUCUGAAUUUCAGCGACGGCACAGCAUGCAGACUCCAGUGCGCAUGGAGUGGUCGGGCAUCUGCACCACUCAGCAGGUUAAACACAACAACGAAUGCCGGGAUGUCGGUAGCGUGCUCUUAGCAGUACUCUUUGAAAACGGUAACAUUGCAGUUUGGCAAUUUCAGCUUCCCUUUCUGGGUAAGGAAUCAAUUACUUCUUGCAAUACUAUCGAGUCCGGAAUAAAUUCCCCAAGUGUGUUGUCUUGGUGGGAAUAUGAACAUAACAACCGAAAGAUGAGCGGACUUAUUGUAGGUAGUGCUUUUGGACCAGUUAAGAUCCUUCCUGUCAAUCUAAAAGCAGUCAAAGGCUACUUUACGCUGAGACAACCCGUAGUCUUAUGGCAAGAAAUGGACCAGUUACCAGUGCAUAGUAUCAAAUGUAUUCCUCUUUACCACCCCUACCAGAAAUGUAGUUGUAGCUUAGUGGUGGCUGCAAGAGGAGCUUAUGUGUUUUGGUGUCUCCUGUUGAUAUCCAAAGCAGGUCUGAAUGUCCAUAAUUCCCACGUGACAGGGCUUCAUUCUUUGCCAAUCGUAUCUAUGACUGCAGACAAACAGAACGGCACGGUGUAUACGUGCUCCAGUGAUGGAAAGGUAAGGCAGCUGAUUCCUAUAUUCACAGACGUUGCCUUAAAGUUUGAGCACCAGCUGAUUAAGCUCUCAGAAGUGUUUGGCUCUGUCAGGACUCACGGAAUAGCUGUUAGCCCAUGUGGUGCGUACUUAGCAGUUAUUACGACAGAGGGCAUGACUAACGGUCUGCACCCAGUUAACAAAAACUACCAAGUUCAGUUUGUAACCCUUAAGACUUUUGAGGAGGCAGCUGCGCAGCUGUUGGAAUCUUCUGUUCAGAACCUUUUCCGGCAAGUGGACUUGACGGAUCUUGUACGCUGGAAAAUUUUGAAGGAUAAGCAUAUUCCUCAAUUCUUACAGGAAGCACUGGAUAAAAAGAUUGAGACCUGUGGUUCUACUUACUUCUGGCGGUUUAAGCUAUUUCUCCUGAGGAUUUUGUACCAGUCAAUGCAGAAAGCUCCCUCAGAGGUCAUGUGGAGACCUUCACACGAGGAUGCAAAGAUCUUGAUAUCGGAUUCCCCUGGAAUGGGCAGCACUGAAGAUGAUCAAGAGGAAGGAACUUCUAAACAAGCCAGCAAGCAGAGCCUAUGUGACACAGGCAAAGGUAUGGACAUAGAUGACACUGCAGAUGAUUCUCUUCCUCAGUCAAGUGACAUAGGAGGCCGCGAGCCAAUGGAAGAAAAGCUUCUUGAAAUACAGGCACAAAUUGAGGCAGUAGAAAUGCACUUGACACGAGAACACAUGAAACGGGUGUUGGGAGAAGUUUAUCUACACACAUGGAUUACAGAAAACACCAGUAUUCCCACCAGAGGAGUCUGUGACUUCUUAAUGUCCGAUGAUGGCUAUGAUGACAGAACAGCACGAGUGCUGAUUGGGCAUAUCUUAAAGAAAAUGAACAAACAGACUUUUCCAGAGCACUGCAGCUUGUGUAAAGAGAUCCUGCCAUUCACUGAUCGCAAACAGGCAGUCUGCUCCAAUGGACAUAUUUGGCUCAGGUGCUUUCUAACCUACCAGUCCUGUCAGAGUUUGGUAUACAGGAGGUGUUUGCUUCACGACAGCAUUGCACGGCAUCCAACCCCAGAAGAUCCUGAAUGGAUCAAGAGGUUAUUGCAAGGACCUUGCACGUUCUGUGAUUCUCCUGUGUUCUAGAGAAAAGCUAUGUAAAGAUUGAAAGUAUUUUCUCUACUGCAUAAGCUCCCUUCAGUCUCGAAGGAUAUAGAGCACAGGAAUACAGACUUUACUGGAGGGGGAAGACAUUGUCCACGGCCCUGUAAAUAGAACGUGGGAGGUUCUAGAAACUCCUUAAGUCCAGAGCCUGUUCCAUGCUCCAGAAACAGGAGUACAUCUGGAAGAGCGAGGUUAUAAAGCGGUUUGGAAAUGCGCCCCAUUGAAGCAUCAGCAGCUGGACACGCUUCCUUUUACUGGAAAGGAACUGAAGUCUUAAGCACGCAGUGUGAACUGUCCUUUCUGCCAACAACUGUGUGAUUGCCCAAAAGCUAGGACGGGAACAGCGGAGCUGCCUCUUGAAUGGUCUUGGCAGUAGACACUCAGUAUACCAUUGCCAGUUUAUUUAACCUGAUUUAUGACUGCUGGGAGAAUGGAAUUUUAAAGCCAAUGAUGUCGGCUUUGUCUGCAUGCCAGUGGAGAUCCUUUAGCACAAAGCUUUCACUUCUCACCCUGACCCAUUCACAACAGGUAAAGAGGUAUUGUGAUUUAAUUUUUUUUUUAAACCAUCACUGGUCCCUAAGUGUAUUUUUGACUAGUGUAGGCUUGACUAGUAGAGCGCACCUCAGACCAGUAACAUUUAACCUCUGAUGCUGAUCUUACGGGAUUUUUCUGCCCAGCUAGCAGCGGAGACUUCCUUCAGGAAACCUUUUAUCUGUCUUGGACUCACGACUUGCAGUUCUGGGAAUGUGGAGGUUAGUCCCGUUCCUGUUGGAGUACUGUAACAACCCGCAGGGCUGCAGCAGCACCUCGAUGCAUUAUCCCUCACAUUGUCCUAAUCAAAACCCUCGCUUUCAUCCCACACGGGGAAGGUGAGUGGGUGAGGAAGGUACGAGCACCUGCUGCCAGAUCCUCCUGCUAUUUUGCCAUUAGCAGAGUUGCCUUCUCAAACUAAUACACAGUGGAGUUAUCCAACAGUAAGGCCCAGUCUGUUUUGAGACACCAGGUGAAGCAUUCAAAGAAUAAAUCCCACAAAAUCGGAGAGUUUCUCUCACAAAGUUUUUACCCUAAGUUUUGCAAGGUAUCUCAAACAAGUGAAUAGUUGAAGGCUCUCCUCAGCCGCUUCGCCAUUUGGUGGUAAACACUGUGGCUGUUCCUGGUGCCUCAUCUCCAAAGGAAGAAUAACGCUCCAGCAGAGAGAGUAAGCGGUUCUUGAUGCACUGCUGCUUUUUUUGUUUUUUUUAAAAGGAUUGUGGUACUUGUUCUUGUGUCUGAGAAUUAAUAGCCAGAGAUGCCGUGUUCUGUGUCUGAAGCUCAUGUGUCAUUGUCCUUGAUAAGUAGCUCCUGAUAGCAUUCAAGAUUUGCUGCUCACACUGAUAACAAGAGUUUAUGCCUCCUCCACUGGGAUGAAGAAAUCCAGGCUAAUCCAGGUUCGAUGGAUAAGCAGAACAGCUCUGGACUGUACAGCUUCUUAGUGCCUUGGUGCUAGAUGCCAUUGUUUGAACUAAGGUGAAAGUUUGGGCUCAUGAGGACUCUGUCUUGGGUCUCCAAACUACACCUCCUGCUCUGGAAUUGGUGACAGUGGAACUCAUUGCUGCCUUUUACCUUAAUUCAGCUCUGGGUUGGGGACUUCAUCAUCCAAUCAUCCUUCCCUUUCAUAUGUUCCCCCAUCCUAUUAAUCCUCUUGUAUAUUUCUAGAGAGGAAAUAUUAUGGUUGCUAAUGCAUACAAACAGGCAAUAAGUAUUUCCCUGAUUUUCUUAAACUUACCAGGUUUUCACUGGCUAAUGCAUCAUCAGCGAUUAUGGGCAGCAUAACACCAUUGAUUCUAUCCUCAUUAAGGGUUUCUUGACAUAAAAGCACUGAAUGCAAACAUUUAUAGUCCUAGUUAAAGGCUAACAAAUCACACGUGUGCUGUUAUGCCCUAAACUAACAUUUACAGGAGACUUGUUUGUACAAGUUGAAUUUCUCAAAUACAGAGCCCGCCCUUUAUGAGUUACCCGGUUGGUGAAGCAGCGGACAGCCUUGCAGGCGCAGUUGCUGGACUGUGGCCACCCCCUGGAAGCAUUCAGGGCCAGGCUGGAUGGGGCUCUGAGCGACCUGCUCUAGUGGAAGGUGUCCCUGCCCAUGGCAGGGGCUUGGAACUAGAUGAUCUUUAAGGUCCCUUCCCACCCAAACCAUUCUGUGAUUCUGUGACUCUCAGUUGCCACCUACAGGUAUGGCAUCGGAGAGAGAACGAGGAAGAGAGCCAUCCCUGCUCCUCAGAGCCCUCACCACGGAGCAGGUCGGGGUUAAUCACUGAAGCUGUUGCUCUUUUGACAACAUCUGAACUUCGUGCACGAGAGACAGAUGUGCAAGGCCAGUUAGAUGCAGCUACCAGUAGAUUAUCUUCAAGGGGGCAGGACGGUGGCUGCAGGAAGAGGAAGGUACCGCUUCAUUCUCUCUAGUCUGCCUUUCUGCCUGAGCGGAGCUGGGUAUGUCAGCGAGAGACUACCACGUGCCUGCUUCCUGCCGUCAAUCAUGAUAAAAAGUGCUUGUUGGCAUUUUACAACCUAGUUCAUGCGUGUUUAUUGAAUUCUUUCUGGCAGUCACCUUGUAAGCGUGUAGUUGGUAGCAGUCCAAUACUUAACAAUAUAAUAAACUUCAAAAUUUGUUACUGCAGAGCACCAGUUCAUAUUUUUGCAGCUGGAAGGAAGGGCAAUAGCAGUCUUAGCGUCAAAGUGUUGGUAGUCAUGGCAAAAAGAUUGAUAGUAAGCAUCUAAAUUAACUGGAAGAAGGUGUUUAUGGGUUCUCAGUAAAUAAAGGUGAAAUGCUCAAAGUAGUUAGCAAUACUACAUCUGUCCUCAUCCCCCUCUUGUAUUCCCUUUUGAAGCUUUCUGUAUGAGACCUGUAAACGCACAAAUCACACUGGUUAUACUCCGGACUUAGACCUAAAGUGGGUAGGGUUUAUUCUUUAACCAAACUGGUACAAAUGUCUGUGUGGAGAUGCCUGCUAGUUUACAGCUCCGCUGGUAAAUACCAGGUUGGAAAGCUGCUUUUUUUCUCCUCCGUGUGGGUAAACAAGGACAACUUGAGCUUGGCUCUACUCAUCUGGAGCCCUGUCCUACCUGUCGAAGGUGCAGGAAUCUUAACAAGACGGAGUCGAGCUGCCUCUUGGAAGUCUCAAGCCAGGAUAGUUUUUUCACAACUUGUAGAUGUUAGUAUGCGUGUACAGCAACGCCCACAGAGCUUUAGUUUUCACGUCUAACGGAGGAGGGCCUUGUAUACAUACUCUCACUUAAAUUUCUGUCUGUGCUAAUCUUUGGCUGUACUCAGUUCUAACUCAUACUUUACACUGGGGAUGUUCCCAGAGCCUUGGUGUCAGUUGGAAUAUUCUUAUUCUGUCACUAUUUUUUCACGCUAACUCAGUUUUUAGCACGCUUCACUCGAAAGACCUGGAACUCCUGCUGCUCUGUCAUGAUCCGGGCAGCGACCUCAGGAGUGUCACAGCUGCCUGCGGAUGAUUGUUUUCAUUGUUGCAAUGCAGCCGGUACACGAGGCGCGCACUUACUUACUAGCAUUAACUACACUACAGUUUGGGGCAGAAGGUGGAGUAAUUCCCUGUGCUGUCCUAGGCUGCGGCUGAAUCAACCCAAAUGUGAAUGCUUGGAGCACCUUCAUCACAGGAGGACUCGUGCGCUGCUGGGGGCCUACAGCAGGAGUUACAGGGCUGCGCCAGCCCUGCAGCAUUCGUACUUAACACGAAACUGGGCGGCCAGCCCUGAAAAGGGAAAACCCAAGAGCCAUCCAAAUGGAACUGUUCAGAGGAGUUUAAUUUAAUUGCUCCGCUCAUCUAGUUGAUCUCUUCGUGCUACUUUAAUUCCGUUCUGGGGUGCGAGUGUUGUAGCUGGCCGACCACGCGGUCACCAGGCUGAAGGAAAAGCAAAGCUGAGUUUUAAUCUUUAGUUUCUGGAUUUUUCCUUUGAGACUUACUUCAUGGGAGGGUCUGACAAAGUUGCUGUGAAUAUUGAUGCUGUGUAUAUGGCACAUUUUGUAAACGUGAAGCAAACCUGGAUGAAUGUUUUGUAUACUGCGACAGUAGCAUUGUAAUCCUGCUCCUUUUUUAUUCUAAAUAAAUAAAUAAAGUACUUGUUUGUAA